AUUGAACGCUGGCGGCAGGCUUAACACAUGCAAGUCGAGCGGAGAUGAGGUGCUUGCACCUUAUCUUAGCGGCGGACGGGUGAGUAAUGCUUAGGAAUCUGCCUAUUAGUGGGGGACAACAUUCCGAAAGGAAUGCUAAUACCGCAUACGUCCUACGAGAGAAAGCAGGGGAUCUUCGGACCUUGCGCUAAUAGAUGAGCCUAAGUCGGAUUAGCUAGUUGGUGGGGUAAAGGCCUACCAAGGCGACGAUCUGUAGCGGGUCUGAGAGGAUGAUCCGCCACACUGGGUCUGAGACACGGCCCAGACUCCUACGGGAGGCAGCAGUGGGGAAUAUUGGACAAUGGGAGGAAGCCUGAUCCAGCCAUGCCGCGUGUGUGAAGAAGGCCUUUUGGUUGUAAAGCACUUUAAGCGAGGAGGAGGCUACCUAGAUUAAUACUCUGGGAUAGUGGACGUUACUCGCAGAAUAAGCACCGGCUAACUCUGUGCCAGCCGCCGCCGUAAGAC
rnacentral:rRNA from 1 species